GUGGGGGCUGCAGGGCCCUGACUCCCCCACACUCUGUGAUAGUGUGUGUGUGUGGGGGGGAGAGGUGUGGGGGGGUAGGGAUAGUGUGUGUGAGAGAGGGUGUAGGGGUGUAUGUGUGUGUGGGGGGGUAGCGGUGUGAGGGUGAGGGGUCUGUGUGUGAGGGUGAGAGGGGCUAGGUGUGAGGGGGGUAGGGGUGCAGGGGGGUAGGGUGUGUGUGUGUGAAAGAGGGGGUAGGGGUGUGAGGGUGAGGGUGAGAGGGGGUAGGUGUGCGGGGGUUAGGGGUGUGAGGGUGAGGAGUUUGUGUGUGAGGGGGAGAGGGGGGUAGGUGUGUGUGGGAGUUUAGGGGUGUGAGGGUUAGGGGUCUGUGUGUGAGGGUGAGAGGGGGUAGGUGUGUGUGUGGGGGUUAUGGGUGUGAGGGUGAGGGGUUUGUAUGUGAGGGUGAGAGGGGGUAGGUGUGUAGGGGGGGUUAGGGGUGUGAGGGUGAGGAGUUUGUGUGUGAGGGGGAGA